CCUACGGGAGGCAGCAGUAGGGAAUUUUCGUCAAUGGGCGCAAGCCUGAACGAGCAAUGCCGCGUGAACGAGGAAGGUCUUCGGAUCGUAAAGUUCUGUUGAAGGGGAAAAAGAGCGGAGAGAGGAAAUGGUCUCCGAUUGAUAUUACCCUUCGAGGAAGUCACGGCUAACUACGUGCCAGCAGACGCGGUAAUACGUAGGUGGCGAGUGUUAUCCGGAAUGAUUGGGCGUAAAGGGUGCGUAGGCGGCCUGCUAAGUCUGGAGUGAAAGGUACCGGCUCAACCGGUACAGGCUCUGGAAACUGGCGGGCUAGAGAGCAGGAGAGGGCGGUGGAACUCCAUGUGUAGCGGUAAAAUGCGUAGAUAUAUGGAAGAACACCAGUGGCGAAGGCGGCCGCCUGGCCUGUUACUGACGCUGAGGCACGAAAGCGUGGGGAGCAAAUAGGAUUAGAUACCCGAGUAGUC
rnacentral:rRNA from 1 species